rnacentral:rRNA from 1 species
AGAGUUUGAUCCUGGCUCAGAACGAACGCUGGCGGCAUGCCUAAUACAUGCAAGUCGAACGAGAUCUUCGGAUCUAGUGGCGCACGGGUGCGUAACGCGUGGGAAUCUGCCCUUGGGUUCGGAAUAACUUCGGGAAACUGAAGCUAAUACCGGAUGAUGACGAAAGUCCAAAGAUUUAUCGCCCAGGGAUGAGCCCGCGUAGGAUCAGCUAGUUGGUGGGGUAAAGGCUCACCAAGGCAACGAUCCUUAGCUGGUCUGAGAGGAUGAUCAGCCACACUGGGACUGAGACACGGCCCAGACUCCUACGGGAGGCAGCAGUAGGGAAUAUUGGACAAUGGGCGAAAGCCUGAUCCAGCAAUGCCGCGUGAGUGAUGAAGGCCUUAGGGUUGUAAAGCUCUUUUACCCGAGAUGAUAAUGACAGUAUCGGGAGAAUAAGCUCCGGCUAACUCCGUGCCAGCAGCCGCGGUAAUACGGAGGGAGCUAGCGUUGUUCGGAAUUACUGGGCGUAAAGCGCACGUAGGCGGCGAUUUAAGUCAGAGGUGAAAGCCCGGGGCUCAACCCCGGAACUGCCUUUGAGACUGGAUUGCUAGAAUCUUGGAGAGGCGAGUGGAAUUCCGAGUGUAGAGGUGAAAUUCGUAGAUAUUCGGAAGAACACCAGUGGCGAAGGCGGCUCGCUGGACAAGUAUUGACGCUGAGGUGCGAAAGCGCGGGGAGCAAACAGGAUUAGAUACCCUGGUAGUCC